rnacentral:lncRNA from 1 species
GUAAGUUCCAAAUCCCUGAAAUUUCGCUGUUGGAAAAUUGCCUUUGGCCCCCUCAGACAACUGCUGGGUGGAGCCUCCUGUACGGGUUUCCUUCACCAUGUUUCCCUAGUGCUUUUCCUACUGGUUUUAUCCAUUUAUACCAUUUAUUCCUUUUGAAAAGUUUAUCCUUACCCUGCCGCUGCCCCGGUUUUGUUGGGCGGCGGAUUGAUCCAGGAGUGCCAAUGCAGUGCCAGUGUUGAGCUUGAAACAACAUCCACCCUCUUUCAACCCUCUCCUGCAGUCUCGCCACAGUUUAUUGUCUCAGUUGCCUCUUGCGUCCUUUGUGCCCAGUCUCGUCUUAUUUAUGGGCUUUGGACCAUGAGGUCUUAUUGGACACCAAACGCAGAUGAGAAAUAGCUGGCCUAGCCGCCUCAUUUACCUUGCAGGGGGCGCCGGGUGCCUCUCACGUGGCUUGGAGGCGGAUUUCAUGUCACGUUCCCGGAAGUCUUCUCUUGGGUACCUCAACCGUUCUAAAGUUGUGAAUUUGUAGUGUGUAGUACCGUCGAGCAAAGAUUAUUAUUAUUUUUGUUGUGGUCUUAAAAGUCGAACCCAAGGCCUCAUACAUUCCAGGCAGUCGAUCUGCCACUGAGCUAAAUUCAUGACCCUCAAAGAUGAUUCUUUUGAAGUCUGGAAUUAUAAAAUAUUGGCUUUAAAAGGAGUUUAAAAUUAGGUGUAAUCAAGACAUUGUGGCUUUGGUUAACUUGCUAUAUUGUUGAUGCUAGCCUCAAACUUGGGAUAUUGAGCGAGCAUUUAAAUACUUGUUGGGUUCACUUUUGACCCCACCACACCAAAUUUUUUUCUGCCUUCUGC